UUUCAUAUCAGGCUCUUCUUUGCCAAGAUGUGUUAUGUGACUAGUGUUUAUAUAGUGCAAUUGUCCCGACUCAUGUAUCAGACAGUUGACUCGAACCCAUUUAUGUAUCAGACAGUUAAUCUGAACUCAUGUUUAGACUGAGUAGUUGUUCCAAUUUGUUUACUCCGAGUAACUGGCCCAGACUCAUGUUUAUACCGAACAAUUGCUUCAGUUUCAUUUUGCUAGAUAGGUGGUCUGUUGGAUCAUCGCUCAAUUCCUAGAAGUGUCGAUUUGCCUGAAUAACUUCAUUGCCUCCACUACUCGCUCACUACUUUACUUGCCACUCAUCACAGCCUGUGCUACUCAUCUUCAUAAACGUGUUACUCUUUAUUUUUUGUUCUUGAAUAAAUGUUUUAUGUAUCACUCCAAACUCAAGUUCUUCUUUUUAGAGCACCUUGAAUUUGAGGAGAUACCUUUAUAUGUGGCAACAAAAAUGGUAUACACAAAGAGAUCUUCUUUCUUCAUACCAUCUACAGAGACGUAUGCUCGAGCUGCCAUACGUUGGAUGGGGUAUGAACCGCGCUGCACGCCCUAUUGGCCGCAUUCUCUUCAGUGGUGUUUGGCUUUCAUAAUCCCAGCCGUUGCUCUUGAUGCUUGGCGUCUACAAUUUGGCAUUAGUGUACGGAGAAAGAUGAAAGAUUAUAUGAAGAACAAACAGCUGAAUGAGCAUUAGCCAUCACUUUUGGAUAUUCUCUAAGUUCAUCUGUAGUUUGCAAACUUAACUUUGAAUGCAUGCAUGUGCUAUUUUAUUGGAUAUUUAAAUUUCUAUUUUCCAUU